CGACGAGUUUGAUCCUGGCUCAGAUUGAACGCUGGCGGCAGGCCUAACACAUGCAAGUCGAGCGAGAAAGGUCUUCGGACUGAGUACAGCGGCGGACGGGUGAGUAAAGCGUAGGAAUCUACCUGGUAGUGGGGGAUAACUUGGGGAAACUCAAACUAAUACCGCAUACGCCCUACGGGGAAAGCGGGGGACCUUCGGGCCUCGCGCUAUCAGAUGAGCCUGCGUAGGAUUAGCUAGUUGGUGAGGUAAAGGCUCACCAAGGCGACGAUCCUUAGCUGGUCUGAGAGGAUGAUCAGCCACACUGGGACUGAGACACGGCCCAGACUCCUACGGGAGGCAGCAGUGGGGAAUAUUGCGCAAUGGGCGAAAGCCUGACGCAGCCAUGCCGCGUGUGUGAAGAAGGCCUUAGGGUUGUAAAGCACUUUCAAUUGGGAGAAAGUUGGUCGUUAAUAGCGGCCAGCCCUGACAUUACCUUUAGAAGAAGGACCGGCUAACUCCGUG
rnacentral:rRNA from 1 species